UACAGGGGGUGCAGACGUUGCUCGGAAUCAUUGGGCGUAAAGAGCUCGUAGGCGGUCUGUCGCGUCGAAUGUGAAAACCCGGGGCUCAACCCCGGGCCUGCAUUCGAUACGGGCAGACUAGAGUUCGGUAGGGGAGUCUGGAAUUCCUGGUGUAGCGGUGAAAUGCGCAGAUAUCAGGAGGAACACCGGUGGCGAAGGCGGUUCUCUGGGCCUUACCUGACGCUGAGGAGCGAAAGCGUGGGGAGCAAACAGG
rnacentral:rRNA from 1 species